CGCAAAAGCUGAGGAAGUGUCGGCGUCGAUGAUGUUUGCGAGCCAUAUGAAGAGUCCUGCAUUUAUUUCAGUACGGUGACGAAGACGAAGACGACGCCGACGCCGUAAUGUAAAAGUCUGUGGAAGCGGAAAAAGCUUAGGAAGUGGCGGCGUUUAAUCUGUUUGCGUGCGACAUGAAGAGACUUGAAUGCAUUUGAGUACGAAGAUGAUGCCGCUGCCCUGAACAAGACGCUGCAAGCGCAAAAUCUGAGGAGUUGGCAACGUGAAAGACAUCAGCGAAGUGCGCAUAGGUAUGCCGACGUUUCUAAGCAUGCACUCGCUUUAUUUUUUUUUUCCAGAGCUUUGUAUGUAUUUGUGUACGACGACCACGCCACCGUCACAGUGAACAAGUCUCAGAAAGAGCAAAAGCUGUGGAAGGGGCGGCAUUGAAGCUGUUUACAAACUUCCCGGAAUUGCACCGUUGUGUGUGACUGCUUAGAUCAUUAAAGGUGAAACAGGCCAUUACACGAUACAAGACACAUGGUGACGACGGAGGAGCGACAUAACUGACGAGUGUAGAACAUGGUGCCUAUGCGCUGAAU